UAAUGUUACUAUUUUAGGUGCUAGUUGAAUGUUUUACAAAACUAAAGCAAUUUGAAAAAUAAAAUUUAAAGAUUAAACAAAAAUAAAAAAGUAGAAAACCUAAACUACUGGGCGCUUAGGCCCAUGUGGCUGGGGAGGCCUAGCCCAGCCGCCCUCCUCCCACCUCCUGUUCACAGGAGGGCGUGGAGGCCAUCCAUGGUGCCCCGGCCAGGUGCCGGCCAUCCACUCCUCCCCCUCGACUACAAGACCCCCUUCGCCACUCUCCCUCGACCCCGCGACCCCGGUCAAACCCUAGCCACUACCCCCCUCUCCCCCUCGCUCUCCUCCCCGAUCUGGAGAGGCACCCGACGCGGUCGUCGUCGUCGCCGCGUCGAUCCCGCGGCCACCGACCGCCUCUCGUCUCACUGAUGUGUCCAGCAGCUCCGCUAGCAACCGCUACGUCCUCCUCGACCACGAGCUCAAGCCGGGCCCCCCUACAUCAUCGGGAUCGAGCUCCGUUUACCUCGGACCACUGCCGGUGAUCCCCGACGAUUCCGGCGCCUCCCAGACUCCUCCCAGAGCCCGCUUGUGCUCAACUACAGGGCCUCCAUGCUGACAAUGAAUAAGGACAAAGCUUUUGGAGUUGUCUUCAAGACAUUCAAGAGGGAAUGCAGGUGAAGUACAGGACUUGGCACUUUGAUUUGGCAUUGGAAGAUUUGAAGAUGGUCGUUUGGAGGCUUGGAGAUGUGAAAGAUGCCAUGAUGAUUCCAACUUUAAAGUGAUUUGUGAACUAUAAGUUCUAUUUCAGAACUUAUAUAGCUGUUGAACCAUCUA